CGGGUUAGGCAUUCUUGCUUCAUUUGCUUGGCUCAUUUGAGUUCCGUGGCUUCAUGGAGAGUCAUUUUGGGGCCUUAGAGAUGACGUACAUCUCUUGAGGUCAUUUGGCUUCUUUCGCUUCCGCAUUUCGGGUGCGUUAUCGGGUCAACUUCCGGUUCAUCACUAACGCACCGGGUUGAGAAAUCCGGGUCGUUACACAGGUUCUGUUUGAGUUUGCUGUUAAACAAGUGUUGGAAUAACUAAGAACUAUUACAAAGGGUGGUUAUUUAGUGACAAGUGCUGAGAAGAGGAAAUUGGGGACCAUUGUUUUUGCUGCUGUCAGCCUUUCUGUCAGUGAAAUCCAAAGUCUUCUCAAUAAGGUGGACGUUGACAAGUUACGUGCAAUUAUUGCUUCAAAUUUGCUUUUAGAUGACAAUAACAAAAUGAAGAAUUUUGUAAAGAACAAAGCACUUUAUACAUGUGGUUAAGCACGUUGAUUUCAACCAACAAGGUACCAUUUACCUCAAGGAACCUCACUAUCUCCAUCUUAAUCCAUCAAGGCGUAUAAGAUUCACAGAGACAAAAUGGUUAUUUUGUUCCAAUUACAUAGAGACAGAAAAAAUGCAUGUCCAUCAAAUACACAAACAAGAGGACUCUCACUAGGACCAUACAAAGGAUAAGAGCAAUAAAUUGGUUUUCCACAGAACAAGGAAAUACAUACCUGUAUUUGCCCAAUUGGAAGCUAGAGGAAGUGGGAUAGGAGGAUUGUUGAAUUUCUAAAAAGUACUUGAAAUGAUGUGGGAUAUGGGACAUUUGUAAUGUUAAACAGUGUCAUUUUUUUUGCAUGUAUUUUGUAAUCUGUUGGUGUUAGAUAUUUUUUAAGUUUUAAAGAGUAGCUUUGCAACUUUUGAUUGUGGAUUAGGUUGGUAUGUUUUUGCAACUAUUGUAUGGCUUAUUAUACUGGUAUCUAC